rnacentral:rRNA from 1 species
UUUCGACCUGAGGUCAGGCAAGAACACCCGCUGAACUAAGCAUAUCAAUAAGC